UACAGAGGGGGCAAGCGUUGUUCGGAAUUACUGGGCGUAAAGGGCGCGUAGGCGGCCUUCUAAGUCGAACGUGAAAUCCCCGGGCUCAACCCGGGAACUGCGUCCGAUACUGGAAGGCUUGAAUCCGGGAGAGGGAUGCGGAAUUCCAGGUGUAGCGGUGAAAUGCGUAGAUAUCUGGAGGAACACCGGUGGCGAAGGCAGCCUUC
rnacentral:rRNA from 1 species